rnacentral:rRNA from 1 species
CACGGGGGGAGCAAGCGUUGUUCGGAAUCACUGGGCGUAAAGGGCGUGUAGGCGGUCAAGUAAGUGGAAUGUGAAACGCCUCGGCUUACCCGAGGACCUGCAUCCCAAACUGCUUGGCUUGAGUAUGGGAGAGGAUGAGGGAAUUCCUGGUGUAGCGGUGAAAUGCGUAGAUAUCAGGAGGAACACCGGUGGCGAAAGCGCUCAUCUGGCCCAAUACUGACGCUGAGGCGCGAAAGCUAGGGGAGCAAACAGG